rnacentral:rRNA from 1 species
CGGUGUUCAACUGGCGUGCCCGCGGGACGUCCUGCCGGUGAGCUCAGCCCGCGAGGGCGGCUCAACUUGAAAUCCCAUCGCGGUGCUCUUCAUUGAGUGUCGAGGUGGGCCGGCACGAUUACUUUUGAACAAAUUAGAGUGCUUAAAGCAGGCUAAAAUUUUGCCUGAAUACUGUGUAUAUGGAAUAAUGGAAUAGGACCUCGGUUCUAUUUUGUUGGUUUUCGGAACCCCGAGGUAAUGAUUAAUAGGAACGGAUGGGGGCAUUCGUAUUGCGACGUUAGAGGUGAAAUUCUUGGAUCGUCGCAAGACGGACUAAAGCGAAAGCAUUUGCCAAAAACGCUUUCAUUGAUCAAGAACGAAAGUUAGAGGUUCGAAGGCGAUCAUAUACCGCCCUAGUUCUAACCAUAAACUAUGCCAGCUAGCGAUCCGCCGACGUCCCUCUGAUGACUCGGCGGGCAGCUUCCGGGAAACCAAAGCUUUUGGGUUCCGGGGGAAGUAUGGUUGCAAAGCUGAAACUUAAAGGAAUUGACGGAAGGGCACCACCAGGAGUGGAGCCUGCGGCUUAAUUUGACUCAACACGGGAAACCUCACCAGGCCCAGACACUGGAAGGAUUGACAGAUUGAGAGCUCUUUCUUGAUUCAGUGGGUGGUGGUGCAUGGCCGUUCUUAGUCGGUGGAGCGAUUUGUCAGGUUAAUUCCGAUAACGGACGAGACUCUGACCUGAUAACUAGACGCACUUGCGGCAUCUCAAAGGUCCGCCGGCGGCUGGCUUUGCGCCCGUCGUCGCGCGCGAUUUUUACUGCCGGCGUACAAUAAAUUCUUCUUAGAGGGACAAGUGG